UACGGAGGGUGCAAGCGUUAUCCGGAUUUACUGGGUUUAAAGGGUGUGUAGGCGGACUUUUAAGUCAGCGGUGAAAUCUCCGGGCUCAACCCGGAAACUGCCAUUGAUACUAUUGGUCUUGAAUGUUGUUGAGGUGGGCGGAACGGGUCAUGUAGCGGUGAAAUGCGUAGAUAUCUGGAGGAAUACCGGUGGCGAAGGCGGCAUCCUGGACCGGCAUUGACGCUGAGGAGCGAAAGCUAGGGGAGCGAACAGG
rnacentral:rRNA from 1 species